rnacentral:rRNA from 1 species
AUAAACACCAGAGCUUGCUCUACCGUUUAUGUUGAGUAGCGAACGGGUGAGUAACGCGUGGGUAACCUGCCUUAUAGCGGGGGAUAACUAUUGGAAACGAUAGCUAAUACCGCAUAACAAUGUUAGAUGCAUAUUUAACAUUUGAAAGUACCAAUUGGUACACUAUGAGAUGGACCCGCGUUGUAUUAGCUAGUUGGUAGUGUAAUGGACUACCAAGGCGAUGAUACAUAGCCGACCUGAGAGGGUGAUCGGCCACAUUGGGACUGAGACACGGCCCAAACUCCUACGGGAGGCAGCAGUAGGGAAUCUUCGGCAAUGGACGAAAGUCUGACCGAGCAACGCCGCGUGAGUGAAGAAGGUUUUCGGAUCGUAAAACUCUGUUGUUAGAGAAGAACGUUGAUUAGAGUGGAAAAUUAAUCAAGUGACGGUAUCUAACCAGAAAGGGACGGCUAACUACGUGCCAG